rnacentral:siRNA from 1 species
UGGCAUAUAGAGCAUUGCAUGGAC